GAGGCCUUAGUUUAAUUAAAGCGUUUGAGUUGCAUUCAGAAGAUGCAUAUUAAAGUUUUGCAGGUCUU
rnacentral:tRNA from 1 species